ACUAAAGUCACUAGAAUCACAUGAUUUUAGAUGAAUUAAAAAUUACAAGGAAACUAUUUUAUCCUUUAUUUCUGCGAUAUUUUCCUUACUGAAUAAAAGCAUGAGUUACUAGUCCCUUUUGAACCAUGCUGCCCUUAAAAGAGGGGAAUUUCAGAUAACGUCUGCAUGUAAAUCUCAUUCUGUCUAUCUACCACUGAGAGACUUUCAUGAAAGGGACCCAGUUCAAGCAGACCUUAAUUGAGAUUACUUUUAUCAUAAAACAUAUUAACCCUAAAACUAUAAUGUAGUUAUACAUUGUAAUGUUUGACUUUCUCCUAUAUCCAGAUGGGAGUUGAGGAAAAAUUUGGAAACUAAAAAUAGAUAGUUAUUUUCUCCCUCAUUACUUUUAUUCAAAAUAUAUUCAAGUCUGGACCAAAUCUUAUGAUUCAACACCUUCUCAGAGUGACCUCAAGUCCUUUAGCUCCAAGAACAAUGGGUCAAGCAAAGUGUCACUGGGUUGGGGAAAGAUUCUAAUGGAUAAAUCAUAUUUCUGUUUAAGACAGAAUCCCCAGUUUGUUGCUGUGAGCAGAGAGGGCUGGGGAGCUUGGUUGGGCUUUCUUUGUGUUUCCAGAGAAUCACUUCCCAAGCAGUAGCACAAGUCAGAAUCCUAGGUGAGCAGCAGAUCUUGUUAUCUCUGACAAUACUGACCAUCUCUAAUAUUCUAUUACUUACAGGCAGGAUUAUCAGUCAAGAAUCCUGAACAUAUUGAGUAUAUUGAGUAUAUACCGAGUAUAUUGAGGUAAAGUCCAUGGAGACCACAUCAGUUCUGGAGUUGUAGUCCUAAAAUAGCAGGCAGGGACCCAAGCCACGACGUCUUCCAAAAACACAAGGGAGAAGGAAACCAGCUGUUUCCUUAUCUCCUGUUUAUUACGCUUACUCUGUCACCAUAGUUUUCUAGAUUCCAUUGUCAUGAGAAAUGAGACCACGUAAUCCCAGGUUCUGGUCUUGGCUUUAUCUGUGAUGCUAACCAAGGCUGACUUCUCCAUGAUCUACAGUAACUCAGUGCUUCAGGCCCACAACAUUUUUAAGGGCCCUUGAAAGUGGUUUUCAUUUGGUCUUGUUUUUUGAGACAGGGUCUCCCUCUGUCACCCAUGCUGGAGUACAAUGGUGCAGUCACAACCAACUGCAGCCUUGACCUCCCAGGCUCAAGCAAUCCUCCCACCUCAGCCUCCCAAGUAGCUGGGAAUACAGGCACAUGUCACUACACCUGGUUAAUUUUUGUAUUUUUCGUAGAGAUGAGGUUUCACCAUGUUGCCUAGGCUGGUCUGGAACUUCUGACCUAGAAUGAUCUGCCCACCUGGGCCUCCCAAAGUGCUGGGAUUAUACGCGUGAGCCACCAUGCCUGGCCUUGGUUUCUUUUAAACUCAUUUUAAGAGUAAACUUUUAGGUCAAAGAAAAUGUUUUAACACAUAAUAUUUUUAAUUUUAAUAUUUAUCUUUAUACCACUACAGUCAUAAAAUACAAGUUUAAUAAUUUUUAGAAAGGAAGGGGCCCUUGUAGGUAAAAGCACAUAAGGCCUGCAAAAGCCAUAUGUAAUGUGGCUUCAAUGUUAACCAGAUUAUCAAUAACUUAGUUGUUAUGCUCCAAAAAGCAUGAUGGCUAAGUACUUGUAUAGGAGCCAGACUGCCUGGCUUUAAGUCCUGAUGGCACUACGUGCUAAAGUCAUUUACUUUCUCUGGUUCUCAUUCUCCUUAUCUUUAAAAUGGAGAUAAUAAUAGUGCCUAAUACAUAGGGAGGUUGUGAAGGUUAAAUAAAGUUAUAGGUGUCAGUUGCUUAGUAUAGAGUCUAUACAUAAUGAAGGC
rnacentral:lncRNA from 1 species